CCUGCCCCUAGAGGUGUUGCAGAUGUGGCUGCCGUGUGACAGUUGUGUCAUUAAGUGGCAGAGAGGCCUGUCUAUGCCCAGUGUUCUGGCGUGAGUGCCUGGAUGAUUGAUGGUCUGACAUU